GGAAGGAUCAUUAUUGAAUAAACUUGAGCAGGCUGUUGCUGGCUCCUCCUUGGGGAGGGGUAUGUGCACGCUUGUCAUCUUUAUCUCUCCAACUGUGCACAUAUUGUAGGCCUGGAGGUUGUGUUUUUAUUUGUUCAAAUAGAUUGAGGACUGCUGUUGCUUUCCUUGUAUAAUUUCCAGGUCUAUGUUAUCCUCACAUACAAUCUCAAUGUGUUUUAGAAUGUUGAACUGGGUCUUUUGUACCUAUAAAAGUUAUAAAUACAACUUUCAGCAACGGAUCUCUUGGCUCUCGCAUCGAUGAAGAACGCAGCGAAAUGCGAUAAGUAAUGUGAAUUGCAGAAUUCAGUGAAUCAUCGAAUCUUUGAACGCACCUUGCGCUCCUUGGUAUUCCGAGGAGCAUGCCUGUUUGAGUGUCAUUAAAUUCUCAACUACACUAUUUGUAUGGUGCGGCUUGGAUAUGGGUUUGCAGGCUUUUUGAGAAAGAAGUCGGCUCCCCUGAAAUUUAUUAGUGGUAUCUGAGCAGAAACUACCACAGGUGUGAUAAUUAUCUAUGCCUUGGUGUACUGCAUGAAACAGAUUACACUGCUUCUAACAAAGUUGAUGUCCCUUCUUUGGGCUUGAACAUUUUGACAAAUUUGACCUCAAAUCAGGUAGGACUACCCGCUGAACUUAAGCAUAUCAAUAAGCGGAGGAAAAGAAACUAACAAGGAUUCCCCUAGUAACUGCGAGUGAAGCGGGAAAAGCUCAAAUUUGAAAUCUGGCGGUUUUUGACUGUCCGAGUUGUAAUCUAGAGAAGUGUUACCUGUGCUGGACCGUGUACAAGUCUCCUGGAAUGGAGCAUCAUAGAGGGUGAGAAUCCCGUCUUUGACAUGGACUACCUGUACAUUAUGGUGUGCUCUCAAA
rnacentral:rRNA from 1 species